rnacentral:tRNA from 1 species
GCUGGAAUGGUCUAGUUGGUUAUGACGACUGCCUAACACGCAGUAGGCCCCGAGUUCGAUUCUCGGUUCCAGUA